AUUGAACGCUGGCGGCAUGCUUUACACAUGCAAGUCGAACGGCAGCGCGGGCUUCGGCCUGGCGGCGAGUGGCGAACGGGUGAGUAAUACAUCGGAACGUGCCCAGUAGUGGGGGAUAGCUCGGCGAAAGCCGGAUUAAUACCGCAUACGACCUGAGGGUGAAAGCGGGGGAUCUUCGGACCUCGCGCUAUUGGAGCGGCCGAUGGCAGAUUAGCUAGUUGGUGGGGUAAAGGCCUACCAAGGCGACGAUCUGUAGCUGGUCUGAGAGGACGACCAGCCACACUGGGACUGAGACACGGCCCAGACUCCUACGGGAGGCAGCAGUGGGGAAUUUUGGACAAUGGGCGAAAGCCUGAUCCAGCAAUGCCGCGUGUGUGAUGAAGGCCUUCGGGUUGUAAAGCACUUUUGGCGGGAACGAAAAGGACUGUGCCAAAACCACGGUUCGAUGACGGUACCCGCAGAAUAAGCACCGGCUAACUACGUG
rnacentral:rRNA from 1 species